GCCCCUACGGCCCUACCCCAACCCAAAAGCGGGGGUAGAUCAAAUCAAAUCAAAUCAAAUCCAAUCCAAUGUCUCUUUGUCGGUCACGCGCUCCGCUCCUCAGAUCAGAUGAGAGCAGAGCAGAGAUAGAUUGAUUGAUUGAUUCCAGAAGAGGUAGUCUGCUCGGCGAAUUUCAUCCCCUAGGAAUCCUUCUCCUUCCUUCCUUGGGACGAGCAGGGAGGGCCGUGGACAUGGAGGAUUCCUCCUCCUACUUGCCGGGGCCGGCGGCGGAUUUCGUCGACUACCUGGGCCCCGACACCUCCGCCACCGUCUUCACCAUGCUCCACCACCCCGCCGACCUCGCACGCGCAUCCGCCGUCUCCCGAUCCUGGCGACAAUUCGUUAUCGACAACCAGUUCAGCAAGCUGCAGUGCCUGCGGGCCUGCCCGGAGCUCUCCACCUUCACCACCGUCCACCUCACCACCACCACCACCACCACCACCAGAAACCCCUCUCAAUGCCAGGACCAGGACACCGCCGAGAAGCUCCACCGGGUGUACACGCACCUCGCCCACGGCCUCCUCUCGCCCUACAACCCCAGGGACUGCAUCAUCCACUGCAUCGGCGCCUCCAGCACCGACAACUUCCCCAACGAGACCAUCGAGAACACCCUCGACCCCGUCGACCACCUUGACUCCAACAGGCCAUCCUACUGGUCCAGCGCCGGCCAGAGGGACCCCGCCGUGCCCGAGUGCCUCAUAUAUCGCCUCCAGGCCGAUCUCUGCCUCGUUCACGAGAUCAAGCUGCAGCCAUUCAAAGCGUUUUUCCAGCAUGGCGACCCGAUAUAUUCGCCAAAGAGCAUCCGGGUCCAGAUGGGCUAUCCAAGCUCACCGCUACGCCCUGAAGCACUCGUCUCUGAUGAAAAUGAAGGCCAGUUGAUUGAUGAUACAAACUAUGUCUGGACCUACACAUCUCCAGAAUUCCCAAUGCUGCAGGAAAAUGUUUUGCAAUCCUUCAAGUUACCACACCCGGUUCUCUGUAUUGGCGGGGUGGUCAAGGUUGAGCUUCUUGGGAGGGUUCAGAAACAGGCAAUCGAUGGUCUCUACUACAUAUGCAUAUCUCAUGUCCAAAUAAUGGGGAAGGCACUCUCACGAGACCUCGGGGUCGUUCCUCGCGGGAACGGCCUCGUCCUGAACUACUAUCUGCAUCCCCAUACAUGCGGCGUUCCCCGCAGCGAGUCGUCACGGGACAAUGGGCGCAGCAGGUGGCAGGGCUUGGCGUCGAGGAUCUGGCAUUCUGGCACGGCGCGAAGGAUAGGAGGGCUGAACCAAACGCUGCUGAGCAGACUGUUUGGCGGUCCGUUGCGGCUUGUGGUCGUAGCGGACGAAUCGGAAGGGGAGGAGGAGGAUGAUCUUCCUUAGAAGGAAGGAAGGAGCUCAAGGGUCUUAUUUGAUUUGAUUUGAUUUUCUGCACAUAUAUAAAAGAGUGACUGUCCUUUUGUGGUGCUGUGCUGUGACAAAAAAAAUAUAUAUUACAUUUUGAUUGUGUAAAAGAAGAGAAGACAGCAGAGGGAGAUGAGAUGAGAUGCAUCCAAUCAAAUCAAGCUCACUUGACUUAUAAUAAUCAGAUCAAUCUAAGGAUGCCACUUUUGUUGUUGUUG
rnacentral:rRNA from 1 species